rnacentral:lncRNA from 1 species
CGGGGAGCGGCCACCGGCUGCGUCCACGUCCGCACGGGAGAGGGGAGAGGGGCAGUGUCGGCUGGACCCUGCGCCUGAGCCUGCGGCCGAGCAGGGAGCCCGGGAGCCCAGGAAGCGCAUCGGGCAGAGAACCGCUGGUCCUGGGGACACAGUGACGGGGCCAGGCCGGGGCUGCCGGCCUCGGGACAGAGCAGCAGCAGGCGGGUGCCACAGCAACAAAUCCAUGCCCCAUGAGAUGCAGGGUGACAGGAAAGAAGGGGAGAACUGGUGUUGACUCCAGCUAACUCACUGAAGUUCCGUGGAAGCCAUCCUGGUCGCAGCAGAGGUUGGGGUCAAAGUGUCCUGGAUCAGGACUCAUCUGCACACUCGGUAGUUCGCUGAUCUCACACUAGCCAAGUAUUUUCCUGCCUGGAAAUGGACAGCACUCUUGAUCUGAGGAGAGAAGGUGGGGAGCCCCUGCCCAGGCCUCGCACAAAGGCUGCUACAUCUUCUCUGUUUCCAUGGGGGCCCAGAGCCUCGCUGGCCACACACCCCUGGAGCUGACAUCUUGAGCUACACAGAGUCAACAGGAUCGCCUUGAAUCACUUCCCCACCUCACUCUGUACACCGAAGUAGAUGCCUGAAUCAGAGAAGACGCAUUUCUAAUGCAAACCAGAGGAGCGCUCAAGGGGGACCGUGGCUGAGUUUUAAGUCUUCUCCGUGGAGACAAAGUUCGUCAUGACGUGGCACAGCCUCAGUGCUGCCAGAGGAAAGCAGGCAAGUUGGAAUCUGCAAUCGCUGAUAACGUCUAUUCAUUUAAAAACAGGUGAAGAGGGCCCAGGGAUUUAGC